GAUGAACGCUAGCGAUAGGCUUAACACAUGCAAGUCGAGGGGCAGCACAAGGUAGCUUGCUAUCUGGGUGGCGACCGGCGCACGGGUGCGUAACGCGUAUGCAACUUGCCCUAUACAGGAGGAUAACCCGUCGAAAGACGGACUAAUACUGCGUAUGCUCACAACUUGGCAUCAAGUGGUGAGGAAAGAAAUUCGGUAUAGGAUAGGCAUGCGUCCCAUUAGCUUGUUGGUGAGGUAACGGCUCACCAAGGCAACGAUGGGUAGGGGAACUGAGAGGUUUCUACCCCACACGGGUACUGAGACACGGGCCAGACUCCUACGGGAGGCAGCAGUGAGGAAUAUUGGUCAAUGGGCGCGAGCCUGAACCAGCCAAGUCGCGUGAAGGAUGACUGUCUUAUGGAUUGUAAGCUUCUUUUAUACGGGAAUAACAAGAGUCACGUGUGACUCCCUGCAUGUACCGUAUGAAUAAGCAUCGGCUAACUCCGUG
rnacentral:rRNA from 1 species